CAAUGCUCUUCACUCUUUCUGCACCACUGCACCCACCAGGGAAUUUGCAUUUUAUCCCCAGGGAGGACCUACCCAGGCAAGUUUCAGAUAAAAGCUGGCUCUAGCUGUGCCUUGACUGAUCAGGACUCUUCAGUUCAGUUUCUCAAAAUGAAGCUACCACUUCAGCUCCUGGGGCUGCUACUGCUCUGGGUCACUGGUACGGAUACCGGGAGAUGUGGAAGGGCAGGGGACGAGAGGGUGAAUUUCUGGAUCCCACCGCUCCCUGGGUUAAUGACUACAGAAGAGAUUGAUUAUCGCACAACAUUGGACCUCUGAGUCACUGGAUGACUCGAGUGUACCGUUAUUCCUAUUUCAUCUGUCGGAAACAGCCUCAGAAGGAACAUAGUGUGCAAGACCAUUUGUUUUCUUCCUUGCGCUGGAUCCCCAGGGCUCUUCCCAUCAUUUGAACGGCACCUCCCAUCCUCCUCAUCUUCAGUCUAUUAGAGCAUACGCACCGAAGCUCUGCUGUCUGUGCUCUGACAUUAUAGGCAUGGGAUUCUGCUGUCACUGAAUAUUCUGGCCGCGGAAUACAACUACUGACAAAACACACACAAGCACACACCCACAGAGAGAAACUCAUACACAAACACACACAAUCAGAUCGUUCCUCAAAUACUACAUAGCCACAGUGUAAAAUAGCUAUAACUGUAGUUAUUAAGCAAAAUAUACUGAAAUUUUAAAAAAUCAAUAUUUUACUUUAUCUAAAACGUUGCUCUCUUGUGUGAAAUCUGUUUUUUCAUAUUGAAGUUGUUAUAUUAAUUUUGGUAUUAUUUAUUCUUCAAUCAAGAUGCUAGUCAGAUGACCCAAGGAAUACUGGCAUCCUUCCUUCAAUUUUGCAUUAAGAUAAAUGCUGCAUGACCCACACACUAAUCUGGCCCAGGAGCUCAAAGCACAGGGAUGAUUUUACAGAGCUCAUAAAGAGGAGACUGCGAGUGAUGGGCAGUGCCUUGUCACUGUGUCAGGACUCACCCUGGGGAAGGAAAACUUCUAAUGUGAAAACACAGGGUGAUUGAUGGCAACCCCAGAGACCUUCACAGACACACAAAGUGCAUUAGACUGUGGAUUGCACUGCCUGGUGAGUGAUACAGAUUUGGUCAUCUGUGUUUGGGAAGGAGACAUUUUGCAGAGGAAACAACUGAGCUUCUGACUGAGAAAAACUGUGCCUCCAUGUACUGGCUCCCACCUAAUUUCAAGCCCACAGAAAUGUUACCGACUGCUACAGGCUGAACAAGUCUGGUAUCAGCCUCAAGGUCAGAAACCAUCCUGAGCUUCAGGGAAAAUAAAGUUGAGGCUCGCUGAGUCUAUACACCACCUCAGCAUAAAGUGACUGCUGGCUUGGUGAUUUGGGCACUAUGGUAUGCACGUGCCACUCUCACCUUCCCUGGAGAAAGGAAGGAUUUAUUAUCCAGCUGCUGGGAUCACAGUGGACAGAAAGCCCUCAGCUGCCAGCCUGCUUCAGAAAGUAUCUUGGCUGAAGAGCACUGCGUGGCCCCGGGGCUGCCCUCACCCAAUCACCAGAGGUAUUCAAUGACUGGUCAGAUAACUAUAAAAGUACAACCCCAACUCCAUCCCAAUUUAUGGUCUCCAUCAGGUGGACUAAGGCUUUUAUUGAAUCUGAAUCAGCUCUAUUUCUCCUUCUGUGUAAUCUUCUCUUCCCUUCCCCAACCUCUUCUUUUUCUUCCAGAGCCGUUGAUCCCAUAACCACUCUAGCAAUCUUGUCACAUACUAAUCCUAUGUUAGAAUUUGCUUCUCCUGAUCUCAACCUGAGACAGGCACUAUUCCUUAAUGUGAUAUCAUGCUGCCUAACUCUGCCUUAGUAUCUGCCGUAAGUAUCUUAUUUUCCCAUCAAAAAUACACAAAAAUCUUAAUUGGACAGAAGACUUAAGAUUGCAACUCUGUAAAAAUUCAAAAUGUACUAUUAAAUGACUAUUUCAAAAACAAAAACAAAGAGAGAGGCCAUAGAUUUUUGUGAGUUCUUCUGGAGAAAAGCUUUGAAACUGUCUCAAAGAAAAUAUCGUAUCUCGCUUAUAAUUGAACAAAGAAAUUAUGAAGUACAUAGCUAAGAGCCGCAUAUCAAGAAUCACUGUGGAGCUAUUAUUUAUUUCUGCUGGUUCCUGGUAUUAUUAUAGCAGUUAUUCUUGAGUACUCACUAUAACAAGUGCUAAGAGCUCUGUUUGGAUUAUAAAAUAUAGGUUCAUGGUAAGCAAAUACAUGACCCAAAACCAUAGAGCCAGAACUCAAUGGUGGAUGGGGAGGACUUCAAACCCUCAACUCUUAUCUCUAUUAUACCAUAAUGCCUCCAAUGUAUUUGCAUACUCAAGCUCCAGAGGUUAACUAGUAUAGUUCACUAAGUAAUUGCAGGAGGUGAGAACAGAAGGCAGGUAUACAUGCCACAUUUUUCUCUUUGCUCCUCUACUGCCUCUGAUGAUGACUAGGACACUGGGCCUGCCUUCUAGGUGCUUAAGGACUCAUACAUGCAGUGGCCAGAAGUGACAUACAGCACAAACCUGGGCUAAGGCAAUGGAAAGGUUCUUCUGCCCUCUUGUGGUUCAGUGUGACUAUUACAUAUCCAAGCCCCAUGAAAACGCACUGAAAUACCUUAUAAAGGCACUUGGCAGCAGGCACAAAACCACAGGAGAUGACUCUCUCUGGCCUGAAGAGGACAUUUAAUAACGUGACGUUCUGAUUUUGAAAAAUAUUACUUAUGAUAAGAACGCUCAUCCUAACUACAGCUCAGAAAAAAAACAAACUAAAAACCUGUAUUACACAAUAAUAAAGAAUAUAAACACCCUCAAUAUCCAUCAAGAAAAGUGAUGAAGGUUUAAAAAUAUUCUAAGCCCCAAAUAAAACUCCUAAUCCUUGCUUUUUAUACUCAGUGAUUGUAGAACUCUUUCCAUACCAGCAAGAUAUUUAGUUCCUCAUUCUGCAGGUGCAGAGCACUCAUUGGACAGGGGAACUACCAUGGAGUAACUUGUGUCCUACAAAUGACAACUUCAAACUGCUUCCAAAUGUUUACUAUUAAAAACAAUGCUGCAGGGGCUGGGGAUUUAGCUCAGCAGCAUAAGCGCCUGCCUUGCAAGCACAUGGUCAGUCAGUUCAAUCCCUGGUAUCGAUUUAAAAAAAAAAAGUGUUUAAAAACAAUGCUGCAAAUAAACAAUGAGAUGAAUUCCUGGGAGUGGACAUGCUGGGUCAAAUGGCACAUCCACACUUACGCACCACUUCCCCUUUGAAACUUUUUCCCUCUGACUCUCUUCUGUCUCUCUGGCUGCUCCUUCUCAGCCUUCUUCCCACACUGCCUUACUUGCUCCUUCCUUAGUUGUCAGUUUACUGGGAUUUGGUCUCCAUCUCCCUUCAUCCUACAGUCCUUUCUUCUUUUCAGCAUUUGUCACCUACUCUUGUUUCCAGCUAUGAGUUUUCUUCCUGGAAGGCACCUAAGGUCAUUACAUCUUUUAAGUCCACAGUUUCAGAAUUAUUUUAUAUACUUACUACUCCUGUAUGUAAGUACAGAUAUAAUAUGCAUGCAUACAUAUGUUCAAAUAUGAAUAUAUAUAUAAUGUCCUGCCCCUUUCUACAGUAAUGGUGGCAUCACACCCUAAAUUGAAGCAGUUUUAAGGGAAUUCUGCAAGGUAGCAGUCUUUAAAGGAGAUAAGUGUGACCCUUGGUAGAGGAUAAGGCACAUGCCUGUAAUGUCGGCACUUGGGAGGCUGAGACGGCAGAAUCGUUGCAAGUUCCAACCCAGAAUAUCUUUUCGUAUGCUAUUGACUUUGUCAGUAAGUUCCCAAUUUAGGAAGGAGUUCCGGGGGGACAUUCAUAUGUUGGAUUCAUUCCUAGGUCUGACAAAGUGAGUCUUGUACAACACACUAGUGAAAGUUUGCAACCCAAAUAUUGCUAGGUCAGGGAUUUAUAUAUGUUCUUUGAAAACGUAACUAUUCAUAUUCUUGGUCCAUUUGAAAAAUGAGGUUGUCUUCAUAUCGUGUUAUAAGAGUUGUAUUGCUUACUUUUUCCCAUAUUUUCAAUUGAGAAUAAAAGAUUCCUAACUACCUAGGAAAGCACUAUCUUUUCUCUCUUGGGUGGUGACAGUGGUAUGGUACUGGGGAUCAAACCCAAGAACCUGCACAUACAUACAAGGCAAAUCCUCUACUACUAAGCUAUAUCACUAGCCACCAUUAUUCUUUUCCAGUAUCAAGAAGUAACCAUCAGAACUAUGGAUGUUCUUCAAUGUACAAUAAGGUUACAGCGGGGCUAGGGAUUUAGCUCAGCAGCAUAAGCGCCUGCCUUGCAAGCAGGCAGUCAUGAGUUCAAUCCCUGGUACUGAUAAAUACGAAAAAGACAAAAUAAUAAUAAUAAUAAUAAGGUUACGGCAUGAGACACCAUAAUUAAGCUAAAAAUAUAUUAAGUUAAAAAUGCAUGUAAUUUACCUAACCUAACCAGGCAUGAUGGUGCACAUCUAUAAUCCCAGCACUUGGGAGGCUGAGCCAAGAGGAUUACUGUGAAUUCGAGGCCAGCCUGGAACAUCUCAACAAACAAACAAACAAACAAAAAAAACUACACACACACACACACACACACACACACACACACACACACAUAAAACUUUAUCUCUUACCAAAUAUCAAAGCUUAACCUAGCUUACUUUAUUAAACAUGCUCAGGAGACUUAUACCACCCACCAAAGUUGGGCAAAACUAUCUGACACAAAAUUUAUCCAGUAAUAAAGCACUGCAUAUCUCAUAUAACCUAGUGAACACUACACUAAAAGUAAACAACAGAAAUGUAGUAUACGUAUAUUUCUGCACUCUUGAAAACGUUGGUAUAGACAAAGACUUUAUGAACAAAAGCCCGACUGCACAGUAACUAUCACACAGGAUCAACAACUGGGAUCUCACCCUACUAAAAAGCAUUUGUACAGCAGAAGAAACCACCAACAGAGUGAAGAGACAAACCCACAAUGUGGGAGAAAAUGUUUGCCAGCUGUAUCUCAGACAAAGGAUUACUAUCAAGAAGAUAUAAAGAACUCAAAAAAAUCAGUCCUCCCAGAUUUAAAGACCCAAUAGAAAGAUAGGCAUCUGAGAUGAACACACACUUCUCAGAUGAAGAAGUACAAACAGCAAAUAAAUACAGGAAAAAAUGUUCAACAUUACUGGUCAUUUGAGAGCUGCAAAUUAAAACAACACUGAGAAUCUACCUCAUCCAGAAAGAAUGACUGUUAUCAAGAAAUCUACCAAUAACAAAUACUGGAGGGGCAGUGGGGAAAAAGAACCCUUCUCCACUGGGGGUGGGAAUGCAGACUGGUGCAAGCACUGUAGAAAUCAGUGUGGAAACUCCUCAAAAAACUUUAGGAUUGAAGGUCCCAUUCAACCCAGCUAGUCCCCUUCUGAGUAUCUUCCCAAAAGAAUUAAAAACAUCAUAGCACAGUGAUAUAUGUGCACCCGUAUUUACAGCAGCACAAUUUGUAAUAGCCAGAACUUGCAAACAAUCUAAAUUACCCAUCAACUGAGGAAUGGAUAAAAAAAAAAAAAAGAUGUGGUAAUUCUUUUGAUUGGUUUUACAGUGUUUUGUUUUUGGCUUGAUUUUGCCAUACCUGAUGGGAUGGAUAACUAUUGUAAAGACAAGAUAUACUAUGGUAGCUAUUAUUUUUUUUUUCAGUAUCCUGCUUUAAAACUCUGUACUAAUUCUGCUGCACUGUCUUAUUGGCUUUGUUCUGUCUUGUUUUGUUGGAUUUUACAUCAUUAAAAUAAAAAAUUUUUUAAUUAGAUAAAAAAAGAUGUACUUUUAUGCAACAGGAAUACUACUCUGCUAUCAAGGAUAAACUGGACACUUUUACAGGUGAAUGGGUGCAACCUGGGACCAUACUCAUUAGUGAAAUAAAUAAGACACAUAUAUGUAAACACUGUAUUGUCUCAGUGUUAGAAGCUAAAAGAAACAACAUGUAUAUACGUAUGUAUGUAGAAAGAAGAUAGUUAUACUACUGAUUUCUCUGAGUUCACUGAAGAGAAAGAUUUGUGCUAGUAUUGUUCAGACAAGAAUGGCAUUUUACACUUUUGUAAAUCUUUUUUAUGUCCAGUUUACUGAAAAAAAUCUGGGCUCAGGGCUGGGGAUUUAGCUCAGUGGCAUAAGCGCCUGCCUUGAAAGCAGGCAGUCGUGAGUUCAAUCCCUGGUACCGAUAAAAAGGAAAAAGACAAAAAAAAAAAAAAUCUGGGCUCUAUUUGCUUCCACAUGCAGUAUGUCAUAAAUUGUUUGGAACAAAGUACAGAAUAUGUAAAUUUUGUCCUCUCAUAGAUUAAACAAAAAAGGAAAGAGCAUUAUACUAACCUCUUCAAAUGAUUCUGGAUACCCUGCUUAGAUACUAACCAAAACUCAAACACUAAUAGUUUCCUAUAGGUUAGUCAUAAUACGGAAUCUAGAACAAUAUUCAGACAUCAUUACUUGUGGACUUCAGGACUCAUCAAAUCUUGUACCUGUUAAAUUUUGAUGAGAAAAUGUUUUAGCACUUGGGACCAGCAUCAGUCUCAGGGUCACUCAGUAACAGUGCAAAGCCCUGACACAGCCCUCAUUCUUCUUUUGUUCUUUUGUGCAUUUGAGAUGCUAAUCAUGGGUCACAAGGUUAGGAAUGUGCUGCAAAGCCUAAAAGACUUAUAUUAGUUGAGUAAAAGACCAUAUUAUUAGUCCAGUAAAACGUGAAAGUCAUGAGGAACUUUAAUGAGUUAUUUCUAAUUACAUUUUUUCAUAUGGGAAAAAUCUGUUCAGUACUUGUCAGUCUGACACCCAUCACAAAUUCUGGAAAGAAUUAACUACAAUCACUGAGGAAUGACUGUACACGGAUGAACAUUUUCAGACCCUGUUACAUUAAAAUCCACUGCCCUCAAAGUAUAAAUAACUUAAAGAGUAAAAUAAAAGACAGAUAAUAGCUAUAGGGAGGAUAGGUCUUUUACAAAUGAGAAAAGGACUAAGCAAUGAAGACAGCAGGAGGGAAGAGAAGAGAAAGCAAAAUGAAUUAAGGUAUGUUACAUACAUGUAUCGACUCCCCAUAAUGAAUGUAAUCAUUAUGUACUGUAAAUAUGAACUAAUAAAAAAUUUUAAAAUCCAUUGCUGGGGAUGCCUCAGGGAGAGAACCAGCUAGCAUCUCCCAAGAACACACCAUGUUGGAACUUGAGGCGCUGGGAAAGAAAGCAACCCGCUCACCUCCCUGGUAAGCAGCUGUGAGCCUACUGGCACACGGGCUGAGAAUCAAGCAUCCCGUCCUUCCCUUUACCCCCACAGUUAGCAAAUGGGAGCCAGAGGCCUGAGCAUCUCUUGGGAGGUUGACCCUAUGCAAUACAGCAAAUACGGGGAUUUCCUUCUACCAUCUCUUUGAAGGCAAAUAUUUGUUUUUGGCUUUGUUCUGAUUAAUUGUAUUGUUCUAUUGAAUAUUGUUUUGAUAAGUUCUAUAAUGUUUUGAUUUGACUUUGCUAUACCUGAUUGAAAACACAACUAUUGUGAAGGUAACGAGAUAUACUACGGUACCUGUUACUGUUAUCCCGGUAACCUGUUCUGAAGUUCUGUAUCAAUUUCACUGCAUUGUCUCAAUUGGCUUUGUUCUGUCUUGUUCUGUUGUAUUUUACUAUCUUCAAAAAUUUAAAAAAAAAAAUCUAUUGCUUUAUCUAUA